AGCAUGACUACGUUGGCCCAACGUUGGCUAAUGGUUGGACCGUUGGCCGAUGGUUGGCGUUGGGUUUACAACGUUGGCCCAAUGUUGGGCCAAUGUUAACAUUAAACUAUUUUACUCAGAGGCCGAGGUUGGUUGGGGACACAACGUUGGCCCAAUGUUGGGCCAAUGUCAACAUUACAAUUUUACUCGGAGGCCGAGGUUGGUUGGGGACACAAAGUUGGCCCAACAUUGGGCCACUGUUGUUGGCUUGUCACCACUAAUUUGACAGAUUUUGAUGGGAGUACAACAUUGGCCCAACGUUGGGCCAACAUUGGUGAAUCACGUUCUUAUUUUGUUGUAGUUUGUUGGGCAUACAACGCUGGCCCAAUGUUGGGUCAAUGUCAACAUAACACUAUUUUACUUAGAAGCUGGGGUGAGGACACUUCAAUGUCCCAACGUAGGACCACCGUUUACAACGUUGGGUUUACAACGUUGGCCCAAUGUUGGGUCACUGUCAACAUUACAAUAUUUUACUCAGAGGCCGAGGUUGGUUGGGAACACAACAGUGACACAACGUUGGGCCAUUGUUGUUAGCUUGUCGCCACUAAGCUGAAAGAUUUUGUUGGGAGUACAACAUUGGCCCAACGUUAGGCCAAUGUUGUAUAACAUAAAUUUAAAUUAACUUGCAUAUUUUACAAAAUAUAAGACGAGCAAGACACACACUUUCUAAAGUGUUGCAUUUAGGGGACAUAUUCUAAGAUAAGAGAACAUUUUCUGACCAAACAAUUAGGCAAGGGUUUUGCACAGCGUGAGACUGGCCAGUUUCUAUGGUAAUUGCGAUAUCUGAUAGGACAGGAUGGUCAAAUCUGCAUCCUUUUAGCACGCCUAACAUUUUAAUCUCGGAUGUUUCCUACAGCAGAACGUUGAAGAUUUUAUGUUAAAAAGAGAGCUUUGGAAUGUGUAUUCUUUAAUGUGGAUUAAUUUUAAUAGCUAUGUCCAGACAUUUCAAAUACGGAUCGAAAUGUAAGUACUAUAUUUACCUCUCAAAUAACAUGUAUUUCAGAUUUUAGAACACAAAAUGCAAAGUUUGUUUCAUGCGAUCUUUAUCCUUUUCUAAGUUUGCUUUAGUUUUAAAUUAAAUAUGUAACUAGAUCAGUCUCUAAUCACUGUAUCCUUUCUGUAUAAAACUUAUAAAAUAAAAAGUAUCACUGAUCUAUGUCAGUUAUUAUUACCUUAAUCAAAAUCUAAUCUGUAAAUUUAAUUUUUGAAUAUCUUUGAAUUUUUGCCUGGGUCACUUUCGUUUCAUAAAUUUCUCUAAUAUUUCUACAAUUAAGAAAACAAAUUUUGGAAUUGUUACUUUGUGUUUCACAUGUUUCGGGGAAAUCAAAUCUCUUAUGAUUAAAGUUCUCAUUUUAUUUAAUUAGUAGAAAAAAAACUUGGUGAAUGAAGAGGAGAGUAUGUGCUGCCAUGUUUUAAAAAAUUCCAUUGGAAGGCAAAUAAAGAUAUCCGGCUUUUUCAAAGAUAAUGAGGAUUUAAAAAGAGCUGUUCGGACUAACUGCUUGCAUGCCGAAUCAAUUUCUAUGGAAUUUCACUGAGUACGACCAUGAAGGAAAAAUAAGAACAAGUAGGACAAGACAGAAGAAAAUGCGUUCAAAAAUACAAUGGAGGACAGUGAUUGGUUAUAAACCUGUUAACAAAAAGUGUAUAUAAGUCAAAUGAGUGGAAAACUUUUGAAAUUUAUUUUACUAGAUACAAAUUUCAAUCUAAAU